rnacentral:lncRNA from 1 species
CAAAUAACCCUCAAGUAGCUGGGCAGCUGCCACCUGUGUGGAGGGCUGUGGCAGCCAAGCACGGACAGCGGCGGGAGAGCAGAAAAUGACAGUUGCUGGUUACGUGCUGCGGACCCUGCGUGGUGCAGUUGAAGGCUAUGGAGGCCACAGAAGUGACAAGGUGACAAGGACCUGAGUACCCCGUGGGUGCGCUGAAACAGUAAGCCACGUAAAUCCAGCUGUAGCAGCCAGGGACAGCCUCCUGUUAGGAAACAG